rnacentral:rRNA from 1 species
ACUCACAUAGAGGCAGCAGUAGAGAAUCUUGUGCAAUAAACGAAAGUAUGACACAGAGAGGACACAUUUAAUUGAGCCCGUCAAAUUAAGUGCCAGCCGACGCGGUUAAACUUAAGGGCUGGUUUUUAUAAGUAAAAAGGCGUAAAGGAUGUGUAGGCUAAGAAACGAUCCAAGUAGGUAAAUGGAAUUUUUCUGGAGCGGUAGAAUGUGAAGAUAGAAAAUAGAACCCCUAAGGUAAAAACUAUUUACUACAAGGUAGGCUGAAACAUGAGAGUGUGGGGAGCAAACAGGAUUAGAGACCCUGGUAGUCCACACUGUGAACUUUGAAGAUGAUGCUUAGCAGACCCGAAAGGUAAAAUCUUCCGCCUGAGUAGUACGAUCGCAAGAUUAAAAUUCAAAAACUUUGGCUGUUCACUAUUUCGAUUAGAGGAGCGUGUAGUUUAAUUCGAUGGUCCGCGUGUUACCUUACCCCAACUUGAAUCUGUGACCGGUAUUGCAUGGCCGUCGUAAGUUCGUGUAUUAAGCUAGAAGGGACCCAACCCGGGCAUUUGCCCGGAGGAAGUCAGGUCUUAUGAUCCGAAUGUUGGGGGAUUUUAUGCGCUACAUUUUCUUAUAUAAUGAGAAACCUGGAAGGUGAGUCUCUAAAGUAAGAGUUCGGAAGGUCGCUGUAAAACGACUGGAAGUUGGAUUUAAUAGUAAUCGGAAAGUAGGGCGUUCCGGUGAACUGGUACAAGUGUUAGCACAAAUUGCCCGUCACCUUUACUUAGAAGGUUGUUCGGACGUCUUCGGUGAUUACGAAUGCCUACGA